CAGAGGCCAGGGCUCAGGUUUGGGGACCGCUCCGCCGCGGGGCACGUGGGGCCUAAGUAUCCCCGCCCACCCCGGGAGCCCAGACUCCGGAGCGCCGGGCCUGAGCUUUCCGCAGAGGGGCUCGGCAGCGGAGCCCUGUCCUGCUCCCAGGAGGCGGGUGGCGGUGGCCCGGUGGGCACUACACACGUGGAACUGGAAGAGUUCCUGAGACCCUGCUUCGAAGAGAUUUCCCGUGCACAUUCUACCCGUUUGAGAUGUGUUUGAGUUCACAAACUGUCCCUUAAAGAUGCGAAUGCUCCUUUGAAUAGUUAAACCUAUCAGUCUCUUACACCAUAGUAUAAAUUAUUUUCCUUGCAUUUGACAGAACACCGUGCUAAGAUCAACUACAGGCUUUGGGAAUUUAAAUAAAGGAAGAGGAAAGAGAUAGAAUGUUUUGGGACAAAAGGGACAAAAGCAUGUGUGGGAAGGUAAGUGCUGAGGACAGCCAGCAGCAAUAGGGGGUCAUCUCCCCUGGGGAGAGCUGAAGGAAUGAACAGAGGGGAGAGAAACUUGGCUAUCCAGACCCUGGAUGGAGCUGCCACCCCAUGCCCCUGAGAGUUAUCCGCGGGCACCCCUUCCAGAACCUCAGGCAUCACCUUGCAUCCCUCGGGGAAUGGAUCCAUUAGAGAAUCGAUCCUGCCACUGCUGUUUCUACCGUUCCCUCACACUCUGUCUGAAAAGGCGCCACCUUCAGCCCAUACUUCGCAGGGCUUUGAUUCCAAAGGUAGGGGA
rnacentral:lncRNA from 1 species